rnacentral:rRNA from 1 species
UAGGGAAUCUUCGGCAAUGGACGAAAGUCUGACUGAGCAACGCCGCGUGAGUGAAGAAGGUAUUCGGAUCGUAAAACUCUGUUGUUCGAGAAGAACAAGGACGUUAGUAACUGAACGUCCCCUGACGGUAUCUAACCAGAAAGCCACGGCUAACUACGUGCCAGCAGCCGCGGUAAUACGAAGGUGGCAAGCGUUGUCCGGAUUUAUUGGGCGUAAAGCGAGCGCAGGCGGUUUCUUAAGUCGGAUGUGAAAGCCCCCGGCUCAACCGGGGAGGGUCAUUGGGAACUGGGAGACUUGAGUGCAGAAGAGGAGAGUGGAAUUCCAUGUGGAGCGGUGAAAUGCGUAGAUAUAUGGAGGAACACCAGUGGCGAAGGCGGCUCUCUGGUCUGUAACUGACGCUGAGGCUCGAAAGCGUGGGGAGCAAACAGG